GAUUUCUGGCUUGAAGCAGUUUGCCGGCCACGGUUUCGUGUGUCAGUGCUUGCUGUUCUGGCCAUCCUUCCAAUGGCUGUGCGUGCGUUCUUCAUUGGGCGUGCGUGCGGUGUUGGAUCUUUUACUUUGAAAAAAUUAGAGUGUUUCAAGCAGGCUUUAUGCUAUGAAUACAUUAGCAUGGAAUAAUAAUUUAGGACUUCGGUUCUAUUUUGUUGGUUUCUAGGACUGAAGUAAUGAUUGAUAGGGAUAGUUGGGGGUGCUAGUAUUCAGCGGCCAGAGGUGAAAUUCUCGGAUUCGCUGAAGACUAACUUAUGCGAAAGCAUU
rnacentral:rRNA from 1 species